GAUGAACGCUGGCGGCGUGCCUAAUACAUGCAAGUAGAACGCUGAAGGAAGGAGCUUGCUCUUUCCGGAUGAGUUGCGAACGGGUGAGUAACGCGUAGGUAACCUGCCUGGUAGCGGGGGAUAACUAUUGGAAACGAUAGCUAAUACCGCAUAACAGUAGAUGUUGCAUGAUAUCUACUUAAAAGGUGCAAUUGCACCACUACCAGAUGGACCUGCGUUGUAUUAGCUAGUUGGUGAGGUAACGGCUCACCAAGGCGACGAUACAUAGCCGACCUGAGAGGGUGAUCGGCCACACUGGGACUGAGACACGGCCCAGACUCCUACGGGAGGCAGCAGUAGGGAAUCUUCGGCAAUGGACGGAAGUCUGGCCGAGCAACGCCGCGUGAGUGAAGAAGGUUUUCGGACCGUAAAGCUCUGUUGUAAGAGAAGAACGAGUGUGAGAGUGGAAAGUUCACACUGUGACGGUAUCUUACCAGAAAGGGACGGCUAACUACGUG
rnacentral:rRNA from 1 species